AUUUUCCUACGGGACGCAGCAGUGAGGAAUAUUGGUCAAUGGUCGGGAGACUGAACCAGCCAAGCCGCGUGAGGGAGGAAGGUACAGAGUAUCGUAAACCUCUUUUGUCAGGGAACAAAGACUGGGACGCGUCCCCGGAUGAGUGUACCUGAAGAAAAAGCAUCGGCUAACUCCGUGCCAGCAGCCGCGGUAAUACGGAGGAUGCGAGCGUUAUCCGGAUUUAUUGGGUUUAGAGGGUGCGCAGGCGGUCUGUUAAGUCAGCGGUCAAAGCCCGGGGCUCAACCCCGGCCCGCCGUUGAAACUGG
rnacentral:rRNA from 1 species